rnacentral:rRNA from 1 species
UGCCAUCAGCCGCGGUAAUACGUAGGUGGCAAGCGUUAUCCGGAUUUAUUGGGCGUAAAGCGAGCGCAGGCGGUUGCUUAGGUCUGAUGUGAAAGCCUUCGGCUUAACCGAAGAAGUGCAUCGGAAACCGGGCGACUUGAGUGCAGAAGAGGACAGUGGAACUCCAUGUGUAGCGGUGGAAUGCGUAGAUAUAUGGAAGAACACCAGUGGCGAAGGCGGCUGUCUGGUCUGCAACUGACGCUGAGGCUCGAAAGCAUGGGUAGCGAACAGGAUUAGAUA